AUUGAACGCUGGCGGCAGGCCUAACACAUGCAAGUCUAGCGGCGCGGCGGACGGGUGAGUAAUACCUAUUAAUCUGCCUGUUCGUGGGGGAUAACGUUCGGAAACGUACGCUAAUACCGCAUACUCUCAGCUGAGCCUAGGUGGUAUUAGCUGGUUGGUGGGGUAAUGGGUCACCAAGGCUACGAUCCGUAACUGGUAUUAGAGGAUGAUCAGUAACACUGGAACUGAGACAAGGCCCAGACUCAUACGGGAGGCAGCAGUGGGGAAUAUUGGACAAUGGGCGAAAGCCUGAUCCAGCCAUGCCGCGUGGGUGAAGAAGGUCUUCGGAUUGUAAAGCACUUUAAGUUGGGAGGCGUUACCGACAGAAGAAGCACCGGCUAACUCUGUGCCAGCAGCCGCGGUAAUAC
rnacentral:rRNA from 1 species